ACUCCUACGGGAGGCAGCAGUAGGGAAUCUUCCACAAUGGACGAAAGUCUGAUGGAGCAACGCCGCGUGAACGAUGAAGGCUUUCGGGUCGUAAAGUUCUGUUGUAAGGGAAGAACAAGUGCCGCAGGCAAUGGCGGCACCUUGACGGUACCUUGCGAGAAAGCCACGGCUAACUACGUGCCAGCAGCCGCGGGUAAUACGUAGGUGGCAAGCGUUGUCCGGAAUUAUUGGGCGUAAAGCGCGCGCAGGCGGCCUCUUAAGUCUGAUGUGAAAGCCCCCGGCUCAACCGGGGGAGGGGCCAUUGGAAACUGGGAGGCUUGAGUAUAGGAGAGAAGAGUGGAAUUCCACGUGUAGCGGUGAAAUGCGUAGAGAUGUGGAGGAACACCAGUGGCGAAGGCGACUCUUUGGCCUAUAACUGACGCUGAGGCGCGAAAGCGUGGGGAGC
rnacentral:rRNA from 1 species